AGUGAACGCUGGCGGCAGGCCUAAUACAUGCAAGUCGAACGGCAGCACAGUGGAGCUUGCUCCAUGGGUGGCGAGUGGCGGACGGGUGAGGAAUACAUGGGAAUCUGCCCAGUCGUGGGGGAUAACGUAUGGAAACGUACGCUAAUACCGCAUGCGCCCUUCGGGGGAAAGUCGGGGGACCGCAAGGCCUGACGCGAUUGGAUGAGCCCAUGUUCGAUUAGCUAGUUGGCGGGGUAACGGCCCACCAAGGCGACGAUCGAUAGCUGGUCUGAGAGGAUGAUCAGCCACACUGGAACUGAGACACGGUCCAGACUCCUACGGGAGGCAGCAGUAGGGAAUAUUGGACAAUGGGCGCAAGCCUGAUCCAGCCAUGCCGCGUGAGUGAAGAAGGCCCUCGGGUUGUAAAGCUCUUUGUUGGGUAAGAAAGAC
rnacentral:rRNA from 1 species